rnacentral:lncRNA from 1 species
UGAUGAAUCUCAACCCAUCCACCUUCAAAGGAAGCAUUCUGUUUCCAUCAGCUUGCCAGCUUCUCCCAUAGCAGCAAGCUCAAGGAAGGCAAAAAAGGUCCUUUUCAAAGAAGAUGGUGAAAAAACCUUUCUUUAUGGAAAUCCAGAUUCUUCUGCUGCAUCUAAAAUUGUCGAUACACCACCUAAGCAAGUUAAAUUCCACUCUCAACCAAUGGCUAAGGGAACUGCUGCAUUUGAGGUUGCACUUGAUGUUCCAAACCAUCCUAAUAACCAUCCCAGCUUGAAAAAGUUAAAGGAUAAAAGAUAUGAUUCUUUCAAAACAUGGUCUGGGAAACUUGAGAGGCAGAUAACAAACGUACGUGUGAGGCCGCGAGAAGAUUCAACAGAGAAGACUGCUGGCCCAAAAGCAGAGAAAGAUGCUUUACCUGUAGACCGAUACUUUGACGCGUUGGAAGGGCCUGAGUUGGAAACUCUUAGGGUAUGUUCUUAGUGUUUACCUCCCCCAAUCAUUUAAAAUAAUUUCUUCGUAAAAGGAAACUAGAUGUCCACUUUGUGCCUUUUCUUUGUGGUAUGAAAUUAUGAUGCACAUCUGUCUGUUGCUGCACUCCUAGCCUGCAUUAUAAACGGAUUCUAUCUCAUUAGAUUUCCAGGUUCACUGAAGUCACCAAAUACUGAUGAAUUUUGAAUCUAAUUAUAUGAUCAUCUAAUUAUAAGAAAGAUCUGGUUUGGUCAGAUCUUUCAUUGAAGUUAGGAUGAUCUCACGAGUAUUAUCUUUUGCCUUGGUGUUUAAUGAAUUGUCCUUGUAAAUUGAAGACAUCCGGAUGAAUAACUUCUAUAACUUCUAUUCUCACAUAUUACUGCUGGUUAAGCUGAACGUUUCUGAUCAACACUAUGCUUGCUGCUACUUUACAGCCUUCGGAACAAAUAGUGCUACCAGAUGAUAAUACAUGGCCGUUUCUUCUCCGUUUUCCCAUCUCUUCAUUCGGUAUCUGUCUUGGGGUUAGCAGCCAAGCAAUAAUGUGGAAAACCCUGGCCACCUCUGCCUCCACAAGAUUUCUCCACAUAAGCAUCGACGUAAAUCUUGUCCUCUGGUGCAUCGCUGUUGCUCUUGUAGUAAUCAUUGGUUCCAUAUACCUUCUGAAAAUGAUUCUCUACUUUGAAGCAGUUCGUCGUGAGUACUACCACCCAAUCCGAGUGAACUUCUUUUUUGCACCAUGGAUAGCUCUGCUAUUCUUAGCUAUUGGAAUGCCUCCUUCCCUUGCCGAAGACCUGCAUGCAGCGCUUUGGUAUGUUCUCAUGACUCCAUUCCUCAUUCUGGAGCUUAAAAUAUAUGGACAGUGGAUGUCUGGAGGACAGAGAAGGCUUUCGAAGGUGGCAAAUCCUACAAACCAUCUGUCGAUUGUUGGGAACUUUGUGGGGGCACUGUUGGGGGCAUCAAUGGGAUUAAAAGAAGGGCCUAUAUUCUUCUUUGCAGUCGGGUUGGCUCACUAUGCAGUCCUAUUUGUAACUCUGUACCAGAGACUUCCGACAAAUGAGACACUCCCUAAGGAUCUCCAUCCAGUUUUCUUUCUGUUUGUUGCAGCUCCAAGUGUGGCUUCUAUGGCAUGGGCAAAAAUUCAAGGUUCAUUUGAUAAUGGAUCACGGAUUCCUUACUUCAUUGCCCUAUUCCUUUAUUUCACACUGGCGAGUCUAUGCCCUUAUUUCUAUCAUACGUUAUAUUUCUGUUAUGUACAUUCUCAUAAGCUAUCAACUGUGUGAAGAGGAUCAGACUAUAUUGCUUUAUUUUGCUAUUUAAGAUUUAUCCCUUAACAAUACUAUCCUCUCUUUUUUUGGCAAUUUUGCAGGCAGUCCGUGUUAAUUUUUUCCGAGGAUUCAAGUAAGUCAAUGCCACUUGAAGUUGUUUUUUCUUUCUCUUACCAUUUCGCUUCUGAGGUUUCCUAAAUUUAACGAUCUCUUGAAUCUACAGGUUUUCAUUGUCAUGGUGGGCAUACACUUUCCCGAUGACCGGCGCUGCCAUUGCGACCAUCAGAUACUCGAAUGAAGUCACGAAUGUAGUCACCCAAGUUCUUGCCGUCAUAUUCUCUGCUGUUUCCACACUCACUGUAUCGGCUCUCCUUGUAUCGACAAUAGUGCACGCAUUCGUACUCCAGGACCUCUUCCCUAAUGACAUGGCCAUCGCUAUCAGCAACAGGAAACCAAGACAGCAUCACCAGAGGAAGUGGUUCCAUCUAAGACGUGGAAGCUCGGAUGAAAAUGAGAUUGAACAUUACUUAAAGUUCACAAACUCAGAUGGUAAGGAUAUAGAAUCUUCUCUACACCCCACCACUUCCAGCUCAGAUAGAAGUCAUUGAGUUUAGGCAAGUUUAUGUAAUGCGCAUCACAGUGAGGCUUAUGUUUCGCUUCCUUAGCAGGUCCUUCGCCAUUUUCUGAAUCUUCAGCCUAGUCAUGUAAGGAACUCAUAAUCUAGUAGUUAUGACAGUUUCAAUGAGCAUGAUGAAUCAGAGAGGAAAUGAAGAUUUACGCAGUAAGAGUAGAGUGCUGUCCAAUGAAAUAAUAAGACGUGUGCUUGUAUAGGAUGAGUAUCAGUAAAAUCUAUGCUUUUGCAAACAGGCUUUUCUGCUUUUAUUAAAAAACAAAAACCAGCUAAAUCAAAGAACCUAACUUUUGCCAAGACCAUUUUACAAUUCAUAUGCUAGAAACAAAAAAUAUUCAAAUGAACAGAAAAUUGUAAAUAGAAUAACCCCUGUCUUUUCAGCUGGACGAGGUGACCAAGUGCCUCAUCAAUGCAGCAAUCUGGGUUGUGCAGAUAGCAGGUUGAACAGCAUUGUUGGACCUUCAAUGAUUUUGAAUGUUCAGGUUUAAGCUCCAACCACUUCCAUAGACCCCAAUUGAAGAGGACUAAGAAAUAAUAAAUUGAUCUGCAGUAGAGAGGACACCAAUUCAUUGGAUUUCAUCUUUUAAGAAUUAAAGUGCUAUACAGUACAGAAAAUGUGACUAAACGUAGAGUCUUAGACAAACACUACCAUUUCUAGUUGUGCCACAACAUAAUUGACAAGACUAGGUGAAGUUGAAGCCACAGCAACCUCCUCGUCUAUUAUCCCCAGCGACUAAUGAAAGACAUAGUUUUGUCGACCACCAUGGCCACCAUUAGCAGUGAUUUGAUCUCCAUUCGUCAUCCUCUUUUCCUUGCGACCCAACAACCACCAUCUCUGCCAUUUUUCUAACCACAGAAAUUGACCUUCACAACCCCUAUGCCACUCUCUACUUGAUCGAUCACCGCACCCAAAACCUAGCCUCCACGCCACUACCAGCCACCAUAGAAAUCAUCUCACAGCCCCACAUAACAGUAGUAAUAACAACAAUACUAAGAAGAGAGAGAAGAUCGACAGUGGGAAGGAAAUUCAAAAUUCAGGUGAUCCAAUCUCUUAACAUGAGCAACAAUGAGUUGCAUUGCCGAUAUAGGAAGAAAGAGAAGAAGAAGAUGCACUUGUUCCUACCCUUCAAGUGCCCCCAGUCUCAUCGGAGCAAAGGUUCAAGCACCAGCAGCUUCCCUAACCCACCAACCCAUCUUAGUCACGCGCCGCUGCUAUCUAAGUAGUUCCAUCAGUAUUUUUGUCACCCCCAGCCACUAUACAAGGCGAUUUUAAACCUCAAAAAUAAAUUCUGGAUAAUUUUUAAAGUUGAUACGGUAAAUAAAAGGGUGAAUUAGAAAAUUAAUGUUUUUUUUUAUAUAUAUAUAAUUGUGUUUAUUGUUAAUUUUAUGCUAUAAAUCAUAAAUCUCAAUCUAAUAGUUUUAAAUUCAGCUAAGAUUUAUACAUAAAUUUUCAGAUAUAUUUUUCUACAUUGAUUUAAAUUUUAAUGUCAAUUAAAGUUCUAAAAAACAUCAUAAUAUAAUUCUAUAACCAUCUUUAAUGAUCAACAAUAUAGUUUGCAAGUGUGUAAUGAUUCUCUUAAUGUUUUAAAAUUCUUUUUUUAGGAGGAUUCAUUAUUUAUCCUAUAUACACAAGCAAAGAAAUUAAGAGGCAACAACUAUUACAAAGAUUUUAAUACUUAUUUAGGAGAGUUAAAACUGAUUUUGGACUAAUUUUUUCUAUUAUAUAGUUUUAAACCAACAAUCAUGAUUUUUUAUUCAACCAUUGGAUCAAACUGAAAUUUUAUCAGAAGUUUUCAAAGGUCUGGUUUUGUAUUAGGUUAAAAGUUUAGAUCAAUCAGACAUAGAAAAGACCUUGCAAUAAAGUCUAGAAGCUACUGUACGAGAAUUUAUAUUGGUUUUUUAUUUGGUAUAUAUAUAUAUAUAUAUUAUUUAGAACUCUUUUAUUAUUUUUUUAAAAUUUCUUAAGAUAUUUGUUUUCUUAGUAUAAAUAGAGUUAUUUAGCUUUUACUUGGGUUUGCUUUACAACCAUAGGGUUAUUAGCUUUUUCUUUUUUUCAAACUUUUUUUUCUAAUAAUGUAAAAAUUCUUGUCACACUUAAAAACUAUGUUGUUAUCCAUUAAAGAUCAUUAUAAAACUAAUAAAGCUUCUAAAAUUAUUUGUUGGAUAUCCUUGCAUUAUUAUAAAAAGAAUCCUCCCAAAAUAUAAAGUCCACAAGUCAAAAGGCAACAAAUAAAAAAAGAUAUAUUGCAUAUGCUAACAUGUAAUGCAAUACAAUACAAUACAAAACUCUAAUUGACUUAGAGUUUUAACUCAUAAUAUAACAAUAUGUCUAGAGACUUUUGGUAAAAUUUUAUUAUGAUUCAACAGUCGGAUUUAGAGUUAUGCUUGAUAACAAAAAACUAGACGGUAGACGCAAUUACUCUAGAAUCCCAAUUUUCUUAUUCAACCUUUUCUUGGAUUAUUUGAUAAUCCAAGGCUCAAAAGCAAAACCUUAAGUACAAGCUAAAUAAUAUUAUUUAUACUAGGUAAAAAAAAAAAGCAUCCUAAACAAUUCUAGGAAAAAAAAAAGAGUUCUAAAUAAAAUAGAAAAAAAAAAUCUUAAAUCAACUAGAAAAAUAAUACAAAUUCUUACAUAAUAGCUCUUGGAUCUUAUUGUAAGGUCCUUUUGAUGUCUAAUUGAUUUGAAACUUUAAACCAAUAUAAAACAAGAUGUUUGGCAAUUUAUUGUAAAAUUUCAGCUCGAUCCAACAGUUGGAUUGAAAAUUAUAUUUGUUAGCGUAAAAUUAUGUAUUAAAAAAAAUCAGUACAAAACUAACGUGAACCCUCUUAAAUAAGCAUGAGAAUCUUUGUAAUAGUUGUUGCCCCUUAGUUUUCUUAUAGAGUAUGGAAACUCCAAAAAACAUCUACCAUUAAAUACCAUAAGUCCUCAUUUUCUUGUAUAACUAGGAUAAAUAAGGAGUCCUUGUAAGAAAAUAAUUAAUCUUUAAUUAUAAAUAUUAUUUGUAAAUAUUCAUUUGUUAUUUAAUUUUGAAUUUCUAUGUUUGAGUUGAUGUAUGUGUGGAUUUAUUCUUUUAUUCUAUUUUUAGAAUAUCAUUUUUUAUGAUAUGAGCAAAUAUAGGAUUGAUCAAUUUAAUCUCACAUAGACUCGUUAAGUGUAGGUGAUGAUUUUUUGGGCCCAUUUCAGCCAAUUUAUUUUGAAUAUGCUUAUGCCUCUAAUUGAUCAUUAUUUUUUUGGGUCCAAUGCCUCGUUUUUUAAAAUUAAGGAUUAGGUCUUGCAAUAAGAUGCAUGUCCUAAAUCACUAAUUUAUUAUGUUUAUUUUAAUGAUGAUUAUGUUUCAUUUAGACAAUGACAAUAAUGGUAGUGAUGGUAUUAUCAAUAUUAUCCUCAUUGAUAAUUUAAGCCAAUGUAAGCAAAAUAAUUUAUUAAAUUGUUGUUUCUGAUAUAAAUUUUAAAAUGGAAAAAAUUAAAGUUGAUAUCUAAAAAUAUAAUACACCUGAAACAAAAAAGAAGAAAAAUAAAGGAUUGGGGUUUGGAGAGUCUUUAUUGGACAUUCACAAGAUCGAGACAAGAGUGAUUUAAACUCAAGGACGAGUUUUUUUCAACCUAGGGAGUAUAGGGAUUUUUAGAGAGAGAUUAUUUUUCUUUUUAAUAUUAUUAUUAUUAUUAUUAUUAUUAUUAUUAUUAUUAUUUUCAAUUUAGUUUAAGAAAAUAGUUUUUUAUGGUGUUUUUUUAUUAUUCUAUUUAGUUUAGAAAAUGAAAUAUUAAGAUUGAUAAUUUUAUUUUUUUCUUAAUUUGUUUAAGAUUUUUAUUGAUUUUUCUUUAUUUUCAGAUUUCUUUUUUAAUAAUAAUUGAGUGGAUCUAAUGAAAAUCUAGCAAAUAUGAACACAGGUGUCCAUUUACACAAGUGUAAAAAACAAGAAAAUCAAACAAUCCAAAUCUUUACAUAACGCAAAGUAUCAAGUUUGAAAAGACCGAAAACAUUUCUAAUUUAUCCAAGUUCGGAUACUUUUGGCCCUAUGUAUAAGUCCAUUCAUGUGUACUUAAAAUUACUAUCCUUAGUCUUCAAUGAAGAAUCAAAUUAAUAACUAUAUUCCAAUUUGACAUCUCAUCAUCAAAAAUUAUUUUGAGGUUUUCUAAUUUAUUUAGCUUUUUAAUUUUUAAGCUUAUUAAAGAGAUGCAAACCUCUUAAAUAAAGAAGCAAAAUACAUCAAAAUUAUUUAUUUAGUAAUAAAAAUAUAAAUUAUCCAUAUAAUAACUUUACUUGACUUAAAUUCUAACUUUCUAGCUUAGUAUUUUAUUUUAUUUUUGUGUGUUUUCGUCUACAUUAUUUCCAUCCUAUGUGUAAGGGAUGAAAACUGCUAGGAAAGACAAUAAAAUCAUAUGGAUCUCCAUGGGACGACAUCCAAAACUAGUAUAUAUGCACUUCUUUUCAUUAAUAGAAACCAAAUGGAUUAAAUGUUCUUGGCCGUGGGCCAUGUCUACUAAAUGUUCAUUGUUAUAAUCAACACCUCUAGUUGGCUGCGGCAUCAUGUCUUUCUAUCUCCUAAAAAACAUCGAAAAUGUAACUCAUUGAUAUUGACCCUGUCUUAAUACAUGCAUACUUAAGAGUGGUGCAAGCUCUGCAGAGGGAGAAGUUUUAUGUAUUAUUUCGUUGUCUGAAAACUGGCUAUAUUGACCCUAGUAUGAUUACAUCUGACAUUAGGCAUGAUCAAUUAAGUUGUUCAUUUAACCAUGAGAGAUAACUCAUCUGGUUAGAUUUUGGAUUUGCUUUUUAAUGAUCAUGAGUUCGAGUCUUCUCAAGAUCACUAGAGGCUUACAUGAUUAUUAAAUUUAAGGCUUGUGAAAUUAGUUAAGGUAGGCACAAGCUGGUACAGACACCAAUAUUAAUAAUAAAAAAAAUAAAUUGUUAAUUUUUGUUGGUUUCUUGUCAUUACAUGCUUCAUUUCUCUAAAUUUGUAUGAAACAGGAAUGGGCAUUGAUGAUACAAUAUCCCACAUCAGCAAGGAGUUGUGGGCUAUAUGCCUUUUCAAAGUAAAACCCACUUCAAGGUUAUGACUUCGGUGGCUGGCUUCACAGAAAAUGGUUUCUAUUUCAAAAUCUUACGCACCUAGUUUUCUAGUUUUGGUGACCAAUGUUCUUAAUGAUGAACUGGUUACUUUAUUUAUAGAUUUUAUUUUCAAAGAAUUAGAAGAGCCACAAUUAUUAGAGAAAUAAUUUAAAAUAAGAAUGACAAUUUAAUCUGAUACUAAUAGAUACCGAUAUAUAGAUCACGAAAAUGUAGCUGUGGUGGACUUCCCAUUUCUUCCCCGAAAUAGUGGGUUUUGGAAACAAAUAAAUUAUGACAUCUAUGGCUGUAUGUGGGGGCUAGAUACAUCAAUAUUCUUGAUAUAUAUAUUAAAGAACUCUAAAACGCGUGGGGAAAGUACUAUAGCUUUCCCCACGGUUUUCCCUGCCAAGACAUAUCACCUCUGCCACGAAAUAUAUUAUCACUGUGUAAGUUUGAAAAAAAACGACAUCAUGAUGUGGUGUUUUAGAUGCUUUGAAAAAUUAGGCUGCUGUUGUUUUCUUCCCCUGGAAUUGGGUCUUCUUUUUCUUCUGUCAACGACAUCAUGAUGUGGUGUCUGAAAUGCUUUGAAAAAUUAGGCUGCAGUUGUUUUCUUUCCCUGUAAUUGGGUCUUCUUUUUCUUCUAUCAAGGGAAUACUGAAUUGUCUGACAUCUUAUCACCUUUAAAAUAAUAAAAAGGCGUAGAGAAUGUCAGUCUUUUCAAUGCUGCAUUAAAUGCUUUCAGGCUCCGUUUAGAUAAAGUCAAGCUGGCCAAUCUUUGACAUCAUUUCCGUUUUCAUUGUUUCCUUUUCCAUUUUGGUUCGCGUUUCUGUUAUUUGAACACAUUGUCACCUCUCCUUUUCCCCAGCCAAAAGCCACACUAGCAAUCAACAUCCACCGUUGUUUUUCUGCCUUCUCUAGUGGCUGAAGUGGAUCACCAGCAGCUUCACCGUGGAUCACCAUCCAGCAACAGCAGCAAACACCUCCCGCAGGCUAGGUAGCUUCUUCUCUUCUUGCUUCUCCACGUAAAUCAUGCAUCUCUCAGCUCCCACCUCUCUCAGCAAGCAACUUUAGAGUGACAGUAGCUUUUAACAGAUUUCAGAAGAUGGAACUGUAUGUUCCAACUCAACUUAAGACUGAUGAUUGAUACAUAAAAAAAACCUAUCAUUUAUUUUCCAGAGAAUUAUGAAAGGAGGGGCACAUUCAAAUAGAGAUUUUCUUCUUUUUUUUUUUCUAUCCUGUCAACUACAGACACUUCUCAAAGCUCCUGAUACAGUAAAUAGAGUGAGACAUGCAUCUAAAACUACCCUUAUUCAAUUGUUGAUGGAUGAUAUCUAAAAGCAACCAGAAGUCUUAUGAUUACCCAUACAGUCAGAUAAGCUAAACCUAUAAUCAUGUAAAACGUUCAUGGAAGUCCAGGGGUAACAAAGAAGGUAACAAAACGCUACAUGGAUCUCACCGAAACAUCAAAGAUCAUAUCGCUAUGGCAAGUCUGAAAAGUAAAAAUAUGGGAAACAAUAAAAGAAUCCCAUGAAGGCAUGAAGUGUUUAUGUUUGAUCAAGUAAACAGCAUUUGAGGGAAUUAAUACACCGUUGUUUUUCUACCUUUUCCAGUAGCUAUAGUUGAUCACCAGCACCUCCACCGUGGACCACCAGCCACUCCACCGUCGACCACCAUCCUCACGACAGACCAGCAACAGCAGCAAGCACCUCCCCCAAGCCAGGUUGCUUCUUCUCUUCUUGCUUUUCCACGCAAAUCAUGCAUGAAUGCUGUAAAAAAAAAAACAACAAACCCUGUAGAAUACAUGAGUAAUUAAUUACCUGUUGCUUGCAAUCUGCUUUGCCAAAGGAAAUAGCAAUUUGGUUAAUUAUUAAUUUGUAAUAAUGAUUAACAAUUGGUUACAUAUAUUUGGUGCUCCAUUUCUCCCUUUUGCAAUCCGGCUCAAUCUAAGAUCAUGUUCUCCAAAAGAGGGGCUUCUCUGUUUUCUCUUUUCUUUCUGGUUUCGGCAGAUAGUGUCAACUCUAGAGGAAGUAGAUUGCAAAGUCUUCUACAACAAUCAACUUUUAAAAAUUCGUUCUCAAACUCGGUUCCUUCUCCUCCUUCGCAGAUCGCCGCCUUCGUCUAUCAAUAAAUAAUAAUAAUAAAACUUUAAAAGAAGAUGAACUUACCUUGAUAGUGAUGUCAUCUUCUUCUCCUUCGGUUGAUCAUCUUCCUUAACAUGAGGUAGCCACGCAUCAUGAUCUCACGGAAUUGGACCAGAGAAGCUGCUGCUGGUUCCGGUGAUGGAGCCAAUAAAGUUCAGAUUUCAUUUCUCACAAGGCAGUCGGGUUUUUGCCAUCUUUCAACUCAUUCGGCAUCCUUUUCAUUCCAUGUUUUCCUACCCUUAAUAAUUAAGGAGUCUGGCUGAAGCAUAGGCAAAGCAAGCUCAGUCAGAUUCAAUUGACCGAGACUGGCGACAGAGGGAUGAUUCUGUGGUUUUCGUGAGUUCAGGGCUUAGGUGUGGGGCUUCGAUUGAUAGAUGAAGCUAAGAGCGCAUCUGGUCUUCACGAAAAAAGCAACGGGUUAUGGGCUCAUCUCAUAUGUCCGAUUCAGGCAUCUCUCUUAUUGACGCAUAAAAUAAUUCGGGGGGACGUGGAACCGGACAAGAUAUGUUUUGCUCUGGGUUUGUUGCCGAGUAGCAUGGACACCUUCCCACGUGUUUGUCUGGACUUGGUCUCAUCACAUGUUAUUUUACUAUGCACAUAGGUACAACAUUAUAGGUAGAUCCAUGUGAAUUCCACUUCCCGUGAUAAAAUUAAUGUCCUAUGCUAUUAUUUUUUAUGUUGGAAAGGUUACUUUAUUACAAAGUAUUUUUUAAAAAUAUUUUUUUCUGUGUUUAUUUUUAUUUUUAAUUUCAUAUAUUUAAUUAUUUAAAUGUAUUUUAUAUAAAAAAUGUUUAAUGAAAUAUAUUUGAUCAUCAACCUUCAAAUUUAGUUCAUACGUACCCUUGCCUUUGGCUAAUCUGAAUUCUGAUCUUCGAUCUGAUGGAAAGGUAAGAAAAUCAUGGCAAGUAAAACCAAACGCAGAGGGUUUGAAAUGAAAAUGAAAAUGACUGAUGUGGUAGAGGCUUAUAAGAGCUUCCUAUAGUAGUACAAAAUUAAUUAUUACAUUUCGUGAGCUUCGGAGGAUGUGCCACCUCUCUCUCGCACCCUCAUGUGUUGUGCUUCGCAGUUGUCGCCAGAGGAGAAAAACAAGGAAAAGACGAUGACGACUUUUGUGACCUCCCCGCCUUCUCUCUCUCUCUCAAAAGUAAACUAGGAACUAACAUCUGAUCCAUCCACCCAUCCACUCAUCACCUGAAAUAACUUAUUUCAACCAUUAUUUUUAUAUCAUCAUAAUUAUCAUCUCACUAUCUAACCCUUUACCAUUAUUUUAUUAUUAUUAUUAUUAUUAUUAUUAUUAUUAUUAUUAUCAUCAUUACAGUAUCACCCUCUUUAUUAUUAUUAUCAUCUCAACUUAUCACCAUCAUUAUUAAAAAAAAUAUUUUGCAAGUUAAAAAUUAUAUGCAAAAGAAAAUCAUUGCUAGCGAAAAAUGACAUGUUUGAGAGUAUGGUUCUGGUUGUUUUUUAAAGUGUUUUUUGUAGUGAAAUGUAUCAAAAUAAUAUUUUUUAAAAAUUUUUAGAAACACAAUCACGUUUCUAAAUGCUCUCUUCAUCAACAGGGAUUGUUUAUGUUAGGUUUUCUUGGCACUUGGUCUACUUCAAAUUUCAUUUUUCUUUUGAAAAAAUUUAAGUGUAGUAACUUUUUGGAUAGGUGGCAUAAUUAUGUAUACUUAACAGCAUGGUUUAAUACAGUUCAAGAUGGUAUUUAAUUACGUGAAGAAUGACGAAAAUAUAACAUACAGGAUUGGGAUUAAUACAAACAGUAGUCGAAGGAUGUUAUAAAUACGGAAGCAAAAAUACAGGGGCGUGUACGUCUUCAUGUUUAGGUACAGAUUUCACAUGCUUAAUGAUCAUGUAAAGAAAGCAGGUCAAAAGUCCUUGGUUUUUUAGCAGUGUUUACAUAUGUCAAACUAUGGAUUAUAGUAUGGUUUUGAAAAUAAAAAAAUUUCUUACCCUAUGUUUGAAUUUUUUAAAAAACAUUGCGGGACACGGGACACUCUCAUUAAAAAAAUUACAAAGAUUAUAACCCUUAUUCUUUGCAGCUUAUACGAUUUUGUUUUGAUUUUGUUACUUUCCUUUGUUUUUUUCUUUAGCAUUCACCAGGAUUGUGAUAGAUUGUAGAAGUUAUUGCCUUUAUUCUUUGUAGCUUAUACCAUUUUGUUUUGGCUUUCGUACCCUUUUUUCAUUUGUGUUUUUUUUGGAGCACUUGCUGGAGUUGUGAUACUGAUUUCUUUUACCUAGAUAUGUUGCCUCAUCUUUUAUUUUUAUUUUUGUUUGUUCUUUCAUGCCUCAUUCUCCAGAUCUUAUGCCCAUGUCUGUUUAUUUUUAUCCUUGCACAUAUUAAUCAAAAUUGAACUUCGUUUUUCAGGUCUUUUGAAGGGGCUACUUUUUUUUAUCAUCGGUAUUUUCUCAGGUUUAUUUUGUGCCUCUCUCUUAUUUACUUUAUCCAUUUCUAUUUCCUUGCAUGCUUAAUCAUGAUUAUGGUAUUCCUAUGUUUAGCAACACAUAAUGUCUUUUUUUAAUCGCUUAAUAUUUUAUUGUUAUAUCUUCAUCCUUUCCUGAACCAAGGAGUUAUGUUUUUAGCUAACCCUACCCUAUCAUCAUGUCUUAUGAUAUAUCAAACAUUUCAGUGUAAUUAUCCCUAUGUUUACAUGGUUUCUUUAGAAAGUGCAUGCCAUUAGCAUUUUCUCUAUCCCUGUGUUUUCCUUCACUUAGCCAUGAUCCUGUACUAAUCAUGGUUUUUUUGUGUUUUUCUUUCAUUUACCUUGGUGUUUUAUUUUCAUGAUUUAUUUAGAGCAACAUGACAAGUCCUCACGGACAUGUUCAACCGGAUGAGUAUGUGCCAUCUUCUCCAUACUCACAAUUUGUCUUGAAUGACUACGAAACCCCUGUUGAUAGAAUCUUGCUAUCCGAUAACCCGAGCUCUUCAAAUACACCAUCUGCUCCACAACAUACUCAAGGGGUUGGCACUUUGGUUUGUUCACGCCAGCACAUAGAUAUACAAACCACCUUCUCCUUAUCAAGCAACAUAGUGCAAACUGAAAGUAAUGAAAUUAAUGCAGCAAGGCUAUCCAAUCCUCCACAAUCUACCGCCCUUGCUUCAUUUCACUGUGAUGAAUCUGAAGAAUUCUCUGAGCAAACCCUUAAUCAUCAAUCUACUAUAAGCCAGGCAUUAUAUCAGAAAAAAAAAGGCGUAUGUAAUCCAAUCAUGUACCUUUUGUAGCCAUUUAACCUGUAUUUAUGAUUGCCUCUUUUAUAUCAUUCGUUCAACUCUCUCAACUUUAUUUUUUUACAGGUUAUUUAAUUGAAUACAUUGAUUUUGGGGAUAAAACAUACAAGUGUAACCAUUGCAACGCUCUUUUUUGGUUGCAAGAACGCUUGGCCCGUUCAGCCAAAACAAACCCAUGCUCCACAAGAAACACCUAACUAUCUUGAUAACCUCCUUAACCCAAACAAUGGUUCAUCGUCCAAGAAGUUUCGACGUGAAAUUCGUGCUUAUAACUCAAUGUUCGCUUUCACGUCCAUGGGGGCUGUGGUUGAUCAUUCUGUUAAUUCUCGGCCUGGAUCUUAUGUUUUUAAGGUCAAUGGAUAUUGCCACCAUCUUAUGGGUUCUCUUCUUCCCAUGGAUAAUAGAGGCCCCAAGUUUGCACAGCUUUAUAUUUUCGAUACAGAUAAUGAGGUUUCUAACCGGCUGCAACCAUUCUGCAAUGAAAAUUUUCAAUCAAGCUUGGAUAGUCAGAUUGUUGUUGGUCUAAUCAAUAUGCUUGAUUCAUCUAAUCAAUUGGUUCGUUUGUUCCGUCAUGCUGGACAAAGGUUUGGGGAUGUCGAGGUUCCAGAAUUCAAACUUCGGUUAAUUGGUAAAAGAGAUGAUGACUCAAGGCAAUACGAUGAUCCUUCUUUAAAUGACAUUGGUGGUUUGGUUGUUGGGGACAUUGGUCAUUGUCGAUCUGAUCGGGACAUAAUUAUUGAAAGUUUAUCUGGAACACUUCAGAGGAUCUCAAAGCUUCAUCCAAAAUUUAUGUCCCUUCAUUAUCCACUUCUUUUUCCAUAUGGUGAGGAUGAUUUUCACACUGAUAUUCCAUUAGCUCAUCAAGAGCAGCAACCACCUAAAAAAAGGCAAAAGGUUUCAAUGAGAGCCUAUUACGCUUAUCUCAUUCAUGAAAGAGAAAAACAAGAAAGCACUCUCAUAAAAGGCGGACGAUUGUACCAGCAAUUUUUGGUUGAUGCAUUUGUUAAUGUUGAAGAGGAACGUUUGGAUUUUAUACGUGCAAACCAAGAAAAUCUUAGAAGUGAGCAUUACAAGGGAAUACAUGAUGUUGUUACUAGAGGUGAUAUUGAUGGAUCAACUACAGGGAAAAUUAUACUUCCAUCAUCUUUAACAGGAAGCCCUCGGUAUAUGGUUAAUAAUUACCAAGAUGUUAUGGCCAUAUGUAGGUGUUAUGGGAAUCCUGAUCUUUUUAUCACAUUUACCUGCAAUGUUAAUUGGCCUGAAAUUCGCCGAGAAAUUAAAAAAACAAGGAGCUAUCAACCUGAGGACAAACCUGACAUCAUAGCAAGGGUAUUUCAUUCCAAGCUAAUUGAUAUGAUGUCAUUCAUCAAGUCCGGAAAACCUUUCGGACGAACAAUUGCUGGUAUUUCUAUUUGAUUUCUUAAAUUUCAAGUUUCUAUUUUUAUCCUUCUACAAACAUCCGUUUUUACUUCUUUACUUGCAUUUUCUCUUUUUAGAUGUUUGCGCUGUGGAGUUCCAAAAAAGAGGUUUGCCACAUACUCAUUUGUUAGUUUGGCUAGCUCCAGAAUUCAAAUUCCGUUCGCCUGAGGAUGUUGACUCUAUUAUUUCAGCUGAAAUACCUGACAAGCAUCAAGAUCCUAUUUGCUAUGAGAUCGUUUCAAAAUUUAUGAUGCAUGGUCCAUGCGGCGCUGCAAAUCCAAAGGCUCAAUGUAUGGAAAAGAAUAAAUGUUCCAAACAGUUUCCAAAAAAAAACAAAGAUGCAACCAUCUUUGGUGAGAAUGGCUUUGUUUACUAUAAACGACGCAUGCAACCUAUGGGUCACAUUGUUAGAAAUGGUAUUUCCCUGUCAAAUUGUCAUGUUGUCCCGUACAACAAAGAACUUUUGCUUCGAUACCAUGCACACAUUAAUGUUGAAAUUUGUUGUCAAUCUCUGCUCAUCAAGUAUCUUUUUAAGUAUGUUAGCAAAGGAGCUGAUCGAUGCAGAAUGGUUCUGAAAAAAGAUACUGAUGAUGAAAUACAAGCUUAUCUAAACUGUAGAUUCAUUUGUCCAUAUGAAGCAGUGUGGCGGUUAUUCCAGUUCCCAAUCCAUUCAAGGAGCCCAGCUGUUGAAAGACUUCAAGUCCAUCUGCCAUUACAACACCAUGUGUUUUUUUCAGGUAAUCAAUCCUUAUCGUCAGUUCUUGGGAGACCUGGCAUUAAUAAGACAAUGCUCACAGAGUGGUUUGAGCGCAACAGGGUUGAUGUCGAUGCACGAGAUCUAUUUUACUCACAGUUUCCAAACAAGUAUGUUUGGGAUGCUAGGCAAAAAGAAUGGAUUGUUAGAUCACGUGGAUUUUGCCUUGGUCGCAUUGUGUAUGUCCAUCCUGCAGCUGGAGAGUUGUAUUUUCUCAGAAUGUUACUUAAUCAUGUUAAAGGAGCAAAGAGCUUCGAAGACUUGCGGCAAAUCUCUGGUACAAUAUUUCCAACUUUUCAACUUGCAUGCAAGGCUUUGGGACUCUUAGGAGAUGAUAAAGAAUGGUCAGAUGCAUUUGGUGAGGCUAUUCCAACAGCUUCUUCUCCGCAGCUAAGGCAACUUUUUAUUAAUAUUAUUAUGUUUUGCGAGGUUGCUGAUCCAAAUAGUCUUUUCGAUCAAUUUUGGCACUCCAUGCAUGAUGACAUUGAAUAUCAUCUGAGAUCUUCUUUCUCAAUGUUGAACGUUCGUUUGUCUGAUGACGAACUUAAGAACUAUGUGUUGUAUGAGCUUGAACAACUUUUUAAUGCUUCCGGGACAUCGUUGGAAGAUCAUAAACUUCCAAUGCCGAAUGGUCGAUUGAUGGAUGAAGUCAGGAACAAACUUUUAAGGGAAGAGCUUAGCUAUGAUCUUGCUGAGCUUAGAAAUAACCAUUCAUUGGCUAUGCCACUUCUUAAUCCAUGUCAAAGAAACAUCUAUGAUUCUGUUAUUACAUCUAUACUACAAAAGAAACAAGCGCUCAUAUUUGUUCAUGGUCAUGGUGGAACAGGAAAGACUUUUUUAUGGCAUACAAUUAUUAAUCGAGUUAGAUCUGAAGGUUCAAUUGUUCUUGCUGUUGCCUCAUCUGGAAUAGCUUCUCUUCUAUUACCUGGAGGGCGAACAACCCAUUCUAGAUUUAAAAUUCCAUUAGAAGUUAAUGAGAGUUCAACAUGCGAGAUUAAACACAACACUCACCUUUCACGACUACUGGAGAUGACAUCACUCAUUGUUUGGGAUGAGGCUCCAAUGAAUAAUAGAUUCUGUUUUGAAGCUUUGGACAGGUCUCUACGAGAUGUUCUUAGACUUAACAAUCCAUUUGGUGGCAAGUCUGUCUUAUUAGGUGGGGAUUUCCGACAAAUUCUUCCUGUUAUACCUGGAGGAACAAAAGAAGAAAUAAUUAAUGCUUCUUUUACUAGCUCAUUGCUAUGGUCUGCAUUCACAUUCCUCACUUUGAAUCAAAAUAUGCGACUAUCAGCUGAAGGUUUAAGCCCAGACCAAAAGGAUGAACUUAGACAGUUUGCAGAGUGGAUCCUUUUAAUUGGUGAUGGACAAAUAUGUGAUUUGGCUGUUUCGGAUGAUCAUGAUGCGGCAUUUAUCAAAAUCCCAUGUGAGCUUCAGGUUGAAGUAAUUGAUUCUCCAAUUGCAGCUAUUGUCUCUGCCAUAUAUCCUGACAUUGAAAGGGCUCAUCUUGACCCAUUCUACUUUAAAGACAGAGCAAUUGUUACACCGAAGAACCUAACUGUUUCUGAGAUUAAUAAUUUUAUCCUUGAUAUUAUACCUGGUCAUAAAUACAACUUUCUUAGUUGUGAUUCUAUCCAAACAACUUCUGGUGAUAUUGACAACAUCGAUUUAUUGUAUCCAAUUGAAUUUAUCAACCAGCUUGACUUUAAUGGUGUGCCCCAACACAGUAUUUCUUUGAAAAUUGGCACACCGAUUAUGUUACUUCGGAACCUUAGUCCCUCUGCUGGUUUAUGCAAUGGAACAAGGCUUAUUGUUACACAGCUUGCCGAGCGAAUUAUUGAAGCCCAAAUUAUUACCGGUUCUAACAUUGGAGAUCGAGUUUUUAUUCCACGAAUUGUCUUUCCAGUUAAUGAUAAAAAAUGCCCCUUCACAAUCAAACGGAGACAAUUUCCUAUUAGGCCUUGCUAUGCUAUGACUAUUAAUAAAAGCCAAGGACAAUCACUUAAGAUUGUUGGUGUCUUCUUGAAAGAACAAGUUUUCAGUCAUGGUCAAUUAUAUGUUGCUUUAUCAAGAGCUACAUCAAAGAAUGGACUUAAAAUCAUUUCCCUCGAUCAUGAAGGAAAACCAUCAUGUUAUGCCAAAAACAUUGUUUACAAGGAUAUCAUUCAAUUAUUACCAAAAGGUAAUCUUUGUAUUCGUUGUUGUAUCUUUUGUGUGUUUAAAUUCCUUAUUCAUAACCUUGAACAUCUAUGAGUCUUCUUUCAACAUAAAAAAAAAAAAAUAGUUCCAUUUUAACUAUAAUAUAUUUAAGUUUUUGCUUUUUUUGUUUUUUGCUGCAUGCGGACAAUAAUUUCUCAUACUCCUCUAUUUUUCAUAAAGUCUUUUCAUGUCUUUUCAGGUUAGCCUGUCACUUCGUCUGCUAUUUAUUUUUCUACUUUGGAUCAACGACUUCACUCCUUGCCUUUACAAUUUCAUGUAAGUUUUUUUUUCUUCACAGCCCUUACUCCAUGCUUAGGGUGAUUUUAAUAUUGAGUAAUGAGUGGACAUGCUAAUUCUUGAUUUUUGUUGUUCCUAAGCAUUAAUUUGUUUCAUAUACUACUUUCACCUCUGCCAUACAUGUAUGAAAAUAAUCAAUUGUCAUACACAUGUAUUCAUGAUCUGAAUUACAUUUCCUACAAUUAAAUAGAAUUUAUGCUUUUAUGAUGACACUUUUCUGCCAUAUUAGCUUUAUAUUUUCAGAUUUGGGUUCCAUUUAGAUCUACUACUAUGUUUAUAUUUUAAUCUCAUGUUUAAUUAUUCACUUAUUUGUUCAAUUUUUCCUUGCUUUUUUUAAAUGCAGAGUGAUGGCUAUUCAUUUACACAACAUUAAAAAAUAUGUUUUCUACCCUUUAAUCCGAGCUCGAGUAUGUCGUGUUUGGAUUCCAAAACAAAAUGGACAAGCAACAAACUUCAAUUGCCUAUUUGUUGAUCGUGAGGUAUGCAACAUAUCUACUAAUAUAAUCUUUAUUAUUGUUUUCUUCAAAUUCUUGCCUCUGCUUGCAUGCUUUUUUUUGGUCCAUUUUUUAAUUUCCCACACAAUUAUGCAAUGUCACCAAUUAUUUGCCUUUUUUUAAUGAACAAGGGUGGUGCAAUACAAGGAUCAGCCAAAUCUAGAGAUGCUGCACAUUUUUCUUCAAUCAUUAUUGAAGGUGGAUAUUAUGAAGUCAAAAAUUUCUACACCUUUGAAAAUCGCUACAUGAAUGCUGUUGUUGGCCAUGAAGCUGUUGUUGAUCUUAAGUCUGACACCAAAGUAACUCACCUCAAUUCUCCCCCACUUUCAAUUCCACGAUAUUACUUUAAUUUCACAGAUUUUGCACAUGUCCUUAACAAAGAAAAAGGAUCAAGACUUCUCACAGGUGUUCUUCAUUCUUACCCUUAUGUACCAAACUGUAUCAUGCAUAGUUUUUUCAUUCCACUAACAUGACUAUUCAAUUAUUUAUAUAGAUGUUCUCGGUAGGCUAAAAGCAAUACAACCAAUUGAAAAGAUUUUGGUUCGGGGGCAAACACUUGAAGACAAAAGGGAGUUCAUCCUUGAAAAUAUACGGUUAAUGAUAAAUUCAAAUUAUUUAUUAUAUUGAAUUCCUCCUAGCAUUAGUCUAAUAUACUUUUAUUUUGUUUAGAGGCGAGGAGCUUCGUAUCACUUUAUGGGGUGACAUUGCUCGAAGCUUUGACGACGCUUCUUUAGCAGAACAAGAUUCUCCUCUUAUCGUUGCUUUUGCUGGUUUUCGUGUCUCUGAAUUUAGAGGUUUCCUUCGUUCUAUCAUCAGGCCUACCAUCAUUCAAUGUUAUUAGAUUUUCGGUUCAAAUUUCAUAACCUCUUCACAUUAAAUAUACACCGAUAAAUAUGUGGUUGUUACAUUUUUUAUAGGAUCUGCAAAUCUAAUUGGCACCGCAGCUUCAGUUUGGUAUUUUAACCCGGACAUACCAGAAUUAUUAGCAUACAAGCAUUAGUAAAUUUCUAUAUUCUUCGAACCUUUUGCAUUUGUUAAAAUCCAAUUUAUGUAUUAAUGUUUAAAUUAAUUCUCAACACCUUUUUCUUUAUCUUUUUGUAGCUAUGCUCAAAUGGCUGUUGACUUACACCAGCUGCCUCCAUCAUCAGGAGCUGUCCUCUCAUUGGAAACUCAGAUAAAUGAAAAUAGAAGAACAAUAAGGGAGAUCCUCUGUAUGGACCCAUACGAACACAAGGUAUCUAUUAUGUUAUUCUUUAAAUGUUACUUAUUGCAAUUCAUGUCGUGAUGCCCAAGCCCAACAAUUGUCUAAUAAAGAUAGAUCGUCAAAUAUAGUGUCUAGGAUCAAGAAUCAUGGCAUAGAAGUUCAAGGCCUAUAAUUUUAUAUCUCAUGGCUGGUUCCAGACCCCUAUAAUAUUAUGAUUACACUGCUGUUGGCAAUCACCAACACUGCAUAGCCUUUUUUAUGAAAAAAAAUGUAUGACUUUGUGCUUUAAUUGACACCUGCAGAAUGAAAGAUUUACAUGUAAAGCUUUCAUAGUUGAUUAUGAUCUCUUCAAGGGAUGGUGGUGUCAAAGCUGUCCAGAUUGCAACAAGCCACUCUCUGGACUCCCUAAUAAUUUGCGAUGCAUGGAGCAUGACUAUCCAUCCUCUGCACCAGUCCCAUGGUUCAACUAAUAUGCAUACCAAAACAACGUUGAAUUUUCAGCUAAAACAUAUAUUAACCCAUGCUUUUAUUUCAUUCUUAACUGGAGCUCUUUUUCAUAUCUUUUAGGUUCAGACUUAACUGCAUCGUCAGCGAUGGUCAAGAUGUCACGAAUUUUCUUCUCUCUGGCAAGACAGCUGAGUAUUUUUUCAAUGCUUCAGCUCAUCAUUUGGUGUUCGACAAACAAUUCACUGACCCAUUUACUGUUCCACCUCAAAUGAUUGAGAAAUUAAACAAGACAAAAAUAUUUCAGCUUCGAUUUGGAGCAUACAAAUCUGUUCUCGGCAGAUGUGAGAUAUAUGUUUGCAACAUCUUUGAUGAAAUACCAACUGAAGCAUCUGUUAGCCCACCUAGCCCCAUUAAAAACAUUGACACGCCAGCCUCAAUAACCUCUGCUGCUGGAAGUUCAAGGACUUUCACCCCUCCAACACCAAACGUUGCAGAUCCCUUGGAUGUAGAUCAAUCUCAGAUUCAGACUCCAGCUUCACAGCAGGACACCUCUCCACAAAAAGACACGUUCCAUGACAGCUGCCAUCGCCAGUCAAAAAGAGCACUAACCUUCAAUGAUGCUGAGCCACACGACAGGUUUGCUUUGCCUCCCCACACAUAACAAAUAAUUCCAGUGCAAACAUGACACACCAGCGGAGGCCACUAUCUCAUUUCUUUGAUAUGCAUUCCUUUAGUAAUUAUUCCUUGCCUGAUCAACAACUUUAUAAAUACUCUUCCCUUUCAUUCUUAAUAUCUUAUUUGGCAUGCAAAUAUCAUCCCGUGGAAUCUUUUUUCAGCUAUAUCAUUAUUUUUAUUCUUAUUUUUUGAUUUCAAGAUAUUAACUUCCAAGACACCACUAUCUAAUAUUUGCUCAACAUUCAUCCUAUGAAAGUUAUUACUUAAUUGUUCUACUAAUAAAUAAAUUGUUUUGUCUUUCAUUCACAUUGUUUACAUUUCCCAUUCCUUAAGUACUUCCUUUCAACAUAUGAUUCAGCACCCAGCUUCCCCACCCAAAACCCUUCAACGAAGACUCAUCAAAGGAGCAUCUCUACAAAGAUGAUGACAAUCCUGCACCUCAACUUUCAAAGAAGCAGCGCCUCUCCGUUUCAUCACCUGAAAAAGUAAGCAUCUACUUCUAAUUAGUUUCCCUUCUUUAUGAACUCACAUACUCAACAAUAAUGACAUCUUCAUUUCUCAUUACUGAUUUAUCUUUAAAAAAAUUUAAUAUUUGUUGCUGUAUAAAAUUUAUGACUUUCAGUUACACUGAUUUUUUCCAAUAGGAAACCAAUUAACAUUGGGUUAGUCAAUGCUUGCUUUUCCAACAUCACAACCUGAUUGGGCGUCUUCAUCAUCUGCGUUGUUGAUACAGCUUGCUGCUCAUUCACGUCCAAUUCUCUACCUAUAUGUAUAAAGCAUAAAAUAUUUACCUCUCGCUGCUUUUGUUAUGCUUGAACUAACUUUUGCAACUAACUUUGUUAACUAUCUGAACUUGACUUUUGCAACUAACUCUGUGAAUAUACUAUCUAUUCCCAUAUAACAUGUGCAAAAAAAAAUAUUACAGAUUUUGACACCCGCGGCAUCGCGCGGGUAUCAAGACUAGCAGAACUCUAAAACGCGUGGGGAAAGCACUGUAGCUUUCCCCACGCCUCCUGUGCAUCAGUUAAUGAAAGUGUGUUUUUUUUUUUCACGCCUCAUUAUUAAUAUAUUAUUAUUAUAUUAUAUUAUAUUAUAUUAUUUCUAAGCAUCAGUGAAUGAAAGUGUUUAUUUUUUUUCACGCCUCACUUUACUCAUUAUUAAUAUAUUAUUAUUAUAUUAUAUUAUAUUAUUUAACUGUCUUAUUUUUUUUCGUUUUUAAUUUUUUUUGUUUUUUUAAUGAAUUUUUUUUGUUUGAUUUAGUUUGUUGGUAUUAAAUUUUUUCUAUUUAAUUAUCAGACUUUCAUAACAUGUAUCCUGGCUUGACGGGUUAACUUGGUUUGAUGUGUUGACCAGUUAACUUUAGGUAAACCCGUUAAUUUUUUCAUUUAUUUAGUUAUCAAACUUUCAUAAUGCGAAUUCCAGAUUUGACGGGUUAAUCAGUUAAUUCAUUUUUUUUCUUUUUCUUCAUUAGUUUUUUUUUUGUUAGUUUUUUUUUUCUUUUUAAUCAAUCUAUUUAAUUAUCACACUUAUAUGACACGACCUUGCAGCCAGACCUACAUCCAAGACUAUUGGAUCUGGUAUUGCAGCCACCCCCACUUAAACUUGGGUCAUGCAAGUUUAAUGUUAUUAUUAAUAUUAUAAAUAUUAUUUUUAGGUCAGGUGUUGCAGCCAAACUCAUGAAUCUUGGGUUUGGCUGCAACGCCUGACUUAAGAGUAAUAUUUAUAAUAUUAAUAAUAAAAUUAAACUUCCAUGACCCAAGUUUAAGUGAGCCUCACUGUAACACCGGACCCAGGAAUAUUGGAUGUGGGUCUGGCUAUAAGGUCGUGUCAUAAAAGUGUGAUAAUUAAAUAGAUUAAUUAAAAAAAUCAACUGAGAGAAAAACUAAUGAGAAAAGAAAAAGAAAUUAAAUUAAUUGGGUUAACCCUUUAAACCAGGUUAUCCCGUAAAACCUGAGAUUUGCGUCAUGAAAGUUUGAUAACUAAAUAGAAUUUAAUUUUUUUUAAUGAAUUUUUUUGUUUGAUUUAGUUUGUUAAUGUUAAAUUUUUUUUAUUUAGUUAUCAGAUUUUCAUGAUACGGAUCUCGAGUUUGAUGGGUUGACCUGAUUUGACGAGUUAUUUUUUUCAUUUAGUUUAGUUUGUUAAAGUUAAUUUUCUUUCUAUUUAAUUAUCAGACUUUCAUACUUUAAUGAUACGUAUCCUGAGCUUGACAGGUUAACUUGGUUUGAUGGGUUAACCCAAUUAAUUAUGGGUAAACCCGUCAUUUUUUUUUCUAUUUAGUUAUUAAACUUUCAUUACGCGAAUCUCAGGUUUUACGGGAUAACCUAGUUUAAAGGGUUAACCCAAUUAAUUCAUUUUUUUUUCUUUUUCUUCAUUAGUUUUUUUCUUUUCUGUUGAUUUUUUUUCUUUGUUUUUUUUAAUUAGUUUAUUUAAUUAUCACACUUUUAUAACACGACCUUAUAACCAGACCCACAUCCAAAAUUCUUGAGUCCGGUGUUGCAAUUAGGCUCAUUUAAACUUGGGUCAUGCAAGUUUAAUUUUAUUAUUAAUAUUAUAAAUAUUACUUUUAGGUCAGGCGUUGCAGCCAAACCCAAGAUUCUUGGGUAUGGCCUUGCAAAAAAACCCAAGAUUUUUAAAUUUUUGGUUUUUUUUUUUAUAUUUUUAUACAAAAAAAAAAAUGAUUUGCGGCAUAGCGCGGGUACCAAGGCUAGUAUAUAUAUAAAGAGAGAGAGACCCCCCACACACACAAGCUUGGCUUGUUAGAGAUAUUAUGUUACUCAUGAUGGUUUCUUGUUUUAUAAUUUCCAGACUGUCGAAGAUUGACGGUGCAAGAUGCUCCAUUUAUAAUUAAAUAUUGGAUAGAAGAAAUAUAGUUUACACUGAAAUUCUUUGAUUUUUCUGAUUAUUAAUUUUGUAAACAGCUUUGCAUUAGAGCAGUAAAAUAUCUUUUCCAUUCAAGUAGUUUUCGGUUUGGUUUUGACAUUUCGAUGUUGUUUUUGUGGUCCCUUUGAAUAUCAAAACUAUCUUUCCAUUUAUUUGUUGAAUUCUUAUCACAACCAUAACCUUUCAAUUCCAAAAGGAGCUCUCUCUUGGUUAGUCUUUAGAUAUAAAAGAGAUGAAAACGACAGAGAUAUGUUUUUUUUGUACUUUAAAAGUAUAAAAUCUCACUUUAAAAUUUUCCUAGAUUUAUUUUAUAUUUUAUCCUCUAUUUUUUUAACUAAAUAUAUUAUUUUUAUCUUAUUUAUAUUGCUUAUUUUAUCCAAGAACACUAACUAAAAUAACUUAGAAUCUUUUUUGAAAGUCCUGCUCUUUAUGCUUAAUAUAACAUUAAUUCUAUUAAAAUUAAAUGGGAACUUACCUUGUUGAUUAAAUUAUACAAUUAAUUUUCUUUAGGAUGGUUGAUAAUGAUGAUAAAUCAUUGAAGCCAAUAUUAUCAUUGGAAUUAAAUUCGAAGUUUAGAGAAUGUAAAAGAGAGUUUUUCGAAUAGUCUUUUUAGUUAUUCUAAGCUUAAAUGUGCAAUAUAUUAAUUAAUGAUAUGAAUAUCUUCUUGAAUUCUAGAAUUCUAAUGGUCUAAUAGGCUUGUAAUUUAAGUCCAAAUCUAGAGUUACAUAAAUAUAAAAAUAAAAAUGAAAUAUGUUCAACCGUGUUUUCUUCCCUUGAAUUUGAUUAACUUAGCUGCUUUGUCUAUUUGCAUGAACGUGUCAUUCUCAAAUAAGCAGCACUACUCGGUAUCAAAACAAGAGUGCUUUUGACGUAAUGUUGUUUUUUCUAGCAGAUGGCUUGCCUUGAAGACUCUCUACAUACACUGCUGUUUAUUUAGCUUUUCUCAUUUCUUCCUUCUCCUAUCCACAUAGGUCUGGUUUUCCUGUGCUUUCCGUGGGAAGCCAUCUGCUUUAAGAAGGAGACAAAAAACACAGAUUUUUGCUGCUGAUUUUCUAUUAGCUUAGCUCUGAGCUCUGCCUGUGUUUCUGCUUGAGGAGGUAAGUAUCGUGUCAUUUUUUUUUUGAAGUGGUCAUCGAUUUCUGGGAUCUGUGUGCAUGGUGCGUGCGUGCGCGUGUGUGUGUGUGUAUUAGCAUGUCAGUGUACUUUUUUCGGUUCUAGCAUGUGAAAGAUCUUAUGGUUGAAAAUGGAAAUCAGUUGUAGUUGCUGUACUUUGAUUUGUUGAUACUACAACUGUACUUUGAUUUGUUGAUCUGAGCAAUGUACUCAACAGUGAUAAGAUAAGAUUUGUGGCUGCUAAUUAGUAAAAAGCAUACUGUACUGUCCCAUCUCUGUCAUCUUCUGGUGUCAUACUGUGAUAUGCAGUCUUUGAUGAAAUGAUUCAUGUACUUUAGUAUGGAGUUUGACAUGGACAGUUUUGAUCUGAUAUGUACAUAUCAUCUUGAGCUAGCCUAGAUGAAGAUGCUUUAUUUCCUUGUCAUCAAUUUCUCCAUAUAAGAAAAUCCAGCUUUCCCUCCUGUCCUUUCUACUCUUCAAAAUGAAAUCAAAGAAUAAUUGGUUGGUAUUUGGGAUACAUUUUACAAGAUGAUCAUUUUUCUUCUUUUGUUGGAACUGGAAAACUUUACUUGUAUUUUGAGAGUCUGCAGUUUUUCCUUUUUUUUAAUUUUCCAUACUGGUCAAGACUAUUGGAUUGCUUGUCUGGAGAUAUUCUCCAAAAACAUGGGACUGUCCUGGACCUCUUCACCAGCAUUUUAAGACCAGGAACCUCAUAACCAAAUAUGGAAAUGAUGACUAACAUGGAUAAAUAUGUAGUUAGCAAGGUUUGAUUUAUGUGUUUUAGGUGCUGGUUCCAGUUACAGUGUCAUCUGUACCAUUUCUGUUCUUGAAGAGUCAAUCUUCAGUGUGUAUAUACGGUUAAUCGAUUGACUGUAGGUUUGUUUUUUAAUUCUGAUUUAUAUCUAAACAAGUUUUGGUAUUUGUUAAUUUAAUUGAAAGAUGAAAUAUGUUUGUUAAAUAAUUGAUCUUUGUUGAAUUCUACUAUCCUUUCAGGGUAACCUUUUAUGAUGGAAAACAGCAGAAAUGUAGAUUUAGAGAAGCAGAUUUUUCCAGAAGCACUUCCUGCGCUCAUCCAACACAUCUCAUCAAAGGAAGUGGAUGGCUUUGAUGGCAUUUAACUAAAUAAAAUCUUGAACAAUCAGCUUCAACCAAGUGAUUCUCAAACUUUUAGUUCAUCAGCUAUGGUAUGAUACACAUUAUGAUGUUACUGAACCAUUUUAGCUUGAUUCUGCAGAAAUUCUUGGGUGGUUUUGUGUAAAUUUCCUUAUGCAGGGAUUUGAUGGUAAAGGCAUAACAUAUUUCUUAUGUUGGUUGUAGCAGGGAAGUGAUACUGCUGCCUUUGAGAACCAAACUGAUGAAUCUCAACCCAUCCACCUUCAAAGGAAGCAUUCUGUUUACAUCAGCUUGCCACCUUGUCCCUUAGCAGAAAGCUCAAAGAAGGCAGAAAAGGUCCUUUUCAAAGAAGAUGGUGAAAAAACCUUUGUUUAUGGAAAUCCAGAUUCUUCUGCUGCAUCUAAAAUUGUCGAUACACCACCUAAGCAAGUUAAAUUCCACCCUCAACCAAUGGCUAAGGGAACUGCUGCAUUUGAGGUUGCACUUGACGUUCCAAACCAUCCUAAU